rnacentral:rRNA from 1 species
GAUGAACGCUAGCGGCAGGCCUAACACAUGCAAGUCGAGGGGUAGAAGGAGCUUGCUCCUUUGAGACCGGCGCACGGGUGCGUAACGCGUAUGCAAUCUACCUUUUACAGAGGGAUAGCCCAGAGAAAUUUGGAAUAAUACCUCAUAGUAUAUAUCAUUCGCAUGUUUGGUAUAUUAAAGUUCCAACGGUAAAAGAUGAGCAUGCGUCCCAUUAGUUAGUUGGUAAGGUAACGGCUUACCAAGACGAUGAUGGGUAGGGGUCCUGAGAGGGAGAUCCCCCACACUGGUACUGAGACACGGACCAGACUCCUACGGGAGGCAGCAGUGAGGAAUAUUGGUCAAUGGACGCAAGUCUGAACCAGCCAUGCCGCGUGCAGGAAGACGGUCCUAUGGAUUGUAAACUGCUUUUGUACGGGAAGAAACACUCCUACGUGUAGGAGCCUGACGGUACCGUAAGAAUAAGGAUCGGCUAACUCCGUGCCAGCCGCCGCGGUAACAC